AACGAACGCUGGCGGCAUGCCUUACACAUGCAAGUCGAACGGUAACAGGUCUUCGGAUGCUGACGAGUGGCGAACGGGUGAGUAAUACAUCGGAACGUGCCCGAUCGUGGGGGAUAACGAAGCGAAAGCUUUGCUAAUACCGCAUAAGAUCUAAGGAUGAAAGCAGGGGACCGCAAGGCCUUGCGCGAACGGAGCGGCCGAUGGCAGAUUAGGUAGUUGGUGGGAUAAAAGCUUACCAAGCCGACGAUCUGUAGCUGGUCUGAGAGGACGACCAGCCACACUGGGACUGAGACACGGCCCAGACUCCUACGGGAGGCAGCAGUGGGGAAUUUUGGACAAUGGGCGAAAGCCUGAUCCAGCCAUGCCGCGUGCAGGAUGAAGGCCUUCGGGUUGUAAACUGCUUUUGUACGGAACGAAAAGACUCUUUCUAAUAAAGAGGGUCCAUGACGGUACCGUAAGAAUAAGCACCGGCUAACUACGUGCCAGCAGCCGCCGUAA
rnacentral:rRNA from 1 species